rnacentral:rRNA from 1 species
CCUACGGGAGGCAGCAGUGGGGAAUAUUGGACAAUGGGCGAAAGCCUGAUCCAGCCAUGCCGCGUGUGUGAAGAAGGCCUUCGGGUUGUAAAGCACUUUCAGUGGGGAAGAAAGCCUUGGGGCUAAUACCCUCGAGGAAGGACAUCACCCACAGAAGAAGCACCGGCUAACUCCGUGCCAGCAGCCGCGGUAAUACGGAGGGUGCGAGCGUUAAUCGGAAUUACUGGGCGUAAAGCGCGCGUAGGCGGUCUGAUAAGCCGGUUGUGAAAGCCCCGGGCUCAACCUGGGAACGGCAUCCGGAACUGUCAGGCUAGAGUGCCGGAGAGGAAGGUAGAAUUCCCGGUGUAGCGGUGAAAUGCGUAGAGAUCGGGAGGAAUACCCGUGGCGAAGGCGGCCGUCUGGACUGACACUGACGCUGAGGUGCGAAAGCGUGGGUAGCAAACAGGAUUAGAUACCCUAGUAGUC